rnacentral:rRNA from 1 species
ACGUACGCUGGCGGCACGCCUAACACAUGCAAGUCGAACGAAGUAGCAAUACUUAGUGGCAGACGGGUGAGUAACAUGUAGGUAUCUGCCCUUUGGCCUGGAAUAACACGAGGAAACUUGUGCUAAUACCGCAUAUUUCCUACGGGAGAAAGACUUCGGUCGCUAUUGGAUGAGCCUAUGUCAGAUUAGCUUGUUGGUAGGGUAAUGGCCUACCAAGGCUACGAUCUGUAGCUGGUCUGAGAGGAUGAUCAGCCACACUGGGACUGAGACACGGCCCAGACUCCUACGGGAGGCAGCAGUGGGGAAUCUUUGC